GGGCUGCAGAGGGGCGGGGAGGAGGAGGAAGCGGCUCAGGCCGCGCGGGGCCCCGGAGCUGGCGGGAGGCGGGAGCGGGCUGGGCGCCGCACGGAGCCGCCCGCCGGAGCAGCGGGGCGCUGCCAGCAGGGUCCGCCCGAGCCCAGCAGGCCUGGGCCGCGAGUCCUGCAGCCCAGAAGCGAGUGGGAGCCGGGAGCCCGCCUGUCCCGGGGCUGUCUCGGGCGGCACCGCCGGGAGCCCGGAGCCGGGCUGAGGAGCCCGAUCCCCAGCGCUGUUCUCAGCCCAGGCGAGGCGCUGCCCGGGGGUUUUCUGCACCCCACAGCACCCCGCUUCGAGACGUGUUUGUAUGUGGUGGUGCUUGUCGCUGUGCAGAGGUGCCUGGCCCUGGGGGCAUCUAGGGAGGGAGAUGCUUGAGCCUGCACUUUACUGAGUUUAUCUGCUCCUCUCCUCACACUCCACUUUUCUCCCUAUGCCUCUGGCACCCUUCAAACGCCUGGCAGCACCCUCCCCCCCCUUCCCCGGCUGAGGAUCACUGGUCUGAAAGGAGCCCUGGAAGCCUGUAGCACUGCUGGGUAGGGCUCCUCUACUGGAGCAGCCUGACUGGAAAUGAUUGUGGGUCAAUCCAAGAAUGAACACAUGUAAGAAACCUUAUGUUGAGCAGACUACAAACCUUGAAAAGUUUGACUCUGAGGUGGUUGCUGAAAUUGAGGGCCUCUUUGAGAAGAGGUUCUCAUAUACUAAACCUCUGAAUAAUGAAUGGAAACUACCAGAUUCCAGUGAUGCAUUUAUCUGCAAUCACAAGGAAUUUCAUUCACUUCUUGCUAUGAAAGACUCCAUGAAUAAAGUGAAAAACCAGCUGAGUGAUAAGAAACUGGAUGAAUGGCAUCAACAUACUUCUUUCACCAAUAAAGCAGGGAAAAUCAUUCCUCAUGUGAAGAAAUCUCUGAAUGCUGAGCUAUGUACUCAGGCGUGGUGCAAAUUCCAUGAGAUUUUAUGCAGUUUUCCCCUUCUUCCAGAAGAAGCUCUUCAGAAUGGAGAACUUAAUACUGUCCAUCUCUGUGAAGCACCUGGUGCUUUUAUAGCCAGUCUUAAUCACUAUUUAAAAUCCCAUCACAUCUCUUGUGAUUGGAACUGGGUAGCCAAUACCCUGAAUCCAUAUCAUGAAGCAAAUGACACUCUUAUGAUGAUUAUGGAUGACCGUCUUAUUGCAAAUACCUUGCCUUGGUGGUACUUCGGUCCAGAUAACACUGGAGAUGUUAUGAUGCUGAAACAUCUAGAAGGACUUCAGCACUUUAUAAGCAAUAUGGCUACGGUUCACUUGGUCACUGCUGAUGGGAGCUUUGACUGCCAAGGAAAUCCAGGUGAACAAGAAGCCCUUGUUUCUCCUCUACAUUACUGUGAAGCAGUCAGUGCUUUAAGGAUACUAGGCAGUGGUGGCUCCUUUGUUUUGAAGAUGUUUACUUUGUUUGAACAUUGUUCUGCCAACCUGCUUUUUCUGCUAAACUGUUCCUUUGAGGAGGUUCAUAUCUUUAAACCUGCCACCAGCAAAGCUGGGAAUUCAGAAGUGUAUGUGAUAUGUCUUCAUUACAUGGGCAGAGAGGCGAUUCAUCCCCUUCUGUCCAAGAUGAUACAGAACUUUGGAAAAGACAUGGUCAGAAAAGCACUUUUCCCUCAACAUGUAAUUCCAGAGUCUUUUCUUAAAAUACAUGAAGAAUGCUGUGCAUUCUUUCACAAGUACCAAAUAGAGACUAUCUAUGAGAACAUUGGACUUUUUGAGUGCAUGGGGGAAGUGGAACAAACAAAGCUGAACAACUUACGGGAUUGUGCAGUAGAAUUCUUCAUGAAAAAAUUCAACAUGAAACCCAUUGCCAGAAAUAAAUGGCUAGUGAAGAAACCUCAGGCAGGUUGCAGUAUGAAUGCAAAGUGGUUUGGACGGAGGAACAAAUAUUUUAAUACUUACAAUGAAAGAAAGAUGCUAGAGUCCCUUAAAUGGGAAGAUAAAGUGGUGAAAGGUUACCUUAACCAUUGGGCUGAAGAACAUGUUCUAAGUAAUGUUGGGAAAAGCUGUAUUUUGGAAGGGUCAUCCUCUAAUCUUGAGUGCAGCUUGUGGUACAACUUGGAGGGAAAGAGGCUUCCAAAAGUAAAAUGCUCUCCAUUCUGUGAUGACGAAGUCUUGAAAGACCUCAAUGAAGCCAUCAGGGAAUCACUAGUAGGCAGACUGAAAACAAAUUCCCUGUCCAGACAAGUGCAGCAGUCUUGUCAAUCUUGCCAUGUUGUCACUGAUGCAGUUAUACUAUCUGAAUUGUUUAAUCUUACCAAGUGCCAUGAGGAAGUUCCAAAUGAAAGCUGUGGUGACCAUAUCAAGUGCCUUGUGGUGGGCCUUCCAUUUCUUUGUGAUGCCAAAAGCCAGUCUAAUAUGGAGAUUAGUUUUCUGGACUCAGCCACGCUAUUGACUUUCACCUGUUCUUUGCUUCAUGAUGGAGAGCCAAAAUAUCAGCAGCAACUCCUAGAUUGUGUUCUACUCUCGCUGAAACAGCUUCAAACAGGAGAUGCUUUAAUUUUACCUAUUCUUUCUUGCUUUACACGCUUCACAGCUGGCCUAAUUUUUGUACUGCAAAGCUGUUUCAGAUGCAUCACAUUUGCUUGCCCCAUAUCUUUUGAGCCUCUAAGGACUAAUGCGGUUCUGUUGUGCAUUGGCUAUCAGGGUCUUCCAAAUCCAGUUGUUGAGUAUCUGCAGCAUCUGAAUGAACUAAUGAGCUCUUUGCUGGACUCUGACUCUUCCCAGCAGGUUUUGCAGUUUGUCCCAAUGGAGACUCUCCUAAAAGGCACAUUACUGGACUUUUUAUGGGACCUGAACACUACAAUUGCAAAGCGACAGCUCCAUUUGAUUAUACAAGUUGAGCAGCAACAAAUGAUCAGUAAUCUUAAUUUUAAAUGAUUCUAGAAUUGAGCUGGUAGCUAUUGACUGAGAAGAUUCAGUUAAUUGGCUGUUUAAAGUUCUUUGAUUUUUUUUUUUGUUUUUGUUUUAAUUUCCUUUAUUUGCUAACUAACGAAUUGCCCGUCAAGAAUGUGCCACCACCCCAUGCUGCUGCUGCUGCUGCCUCCUGGGAGGGAGGAGGAGUUUGCAUGUAGCUCCUGCUGCUCCACAUUCAGCCCCGUGGACUCCCCCCCCCCCCCCCCCCAAUCCAGCCGCCUGUCUCUGUGUCCGUCUAUGUAGAACACUGAUUAGUUGUUUCAGUAAGCAUUGUGAUUGGCUGCCAAGUGUUAUGGACAGACAGACGCACAGACAGAUGGAGUAAGCCAUUUAUUUUUAUUUUAUAUAUAUGGAGUGAGUUGUACCUUAUCAUGUUCCUUUAAAUUUUUACAUUAAUAUAAUCAUUAUCUAGAUGCCCUAUUGACAUGCAGGCAUCAUAGUGACUAUGAUUUUCUUAAGAGGGUUGUCAGGAACUUGUUUGGUGCUACUGCUAAUCAGCCAAUAGAGGCUGUUGUUGAGAGAGACUAAGUUAUUUUUCCUACUAAGGAGCUAGAUGUGUCAUCUUGAUACUUCUCUCCAUCCCAUGGUUUUUGGGGGACCCAAGUCUGUUAUUGAAGUGUGCUAGCUUUUAGCAUUUCCAAGCCAGCUACAUUUUCCAUUCAGUUCAGAAGAGGCUAUCAGCACUAUUGCCUGCAGGAAGAAACUGAACCUUUCAAAAAUACUAGUUUGCUAAAAACACCAGCCUAUUCAAAUCCAGCUAAGAUUUGCUUUAAAAAUUCUCUUUUGUAAGAUGUUAAUCUAGCUGACCUGAAAUCAUGUUGGUUAAGAUCUAUAUUUUCAAAAUAAUGUAGGUGCCUCCACUUGCCUAUAUAUAGACCCUUAAGGACUGACACUUGAGAGAAGAGUUCCUUGCCACUUUCUGAAAUGUAAUCCUCUUCUAAAAGGUUUCUCAAGUUAGGCACUUGGUAAUGAAAGAACCCAAAUCCCCAGUCACUUUUGAAAGUGGCUACAAAGACACUCGGAUAUCAGUUUUCAGAUCUAGUAGAAGGGGAAGAGAUAUCUUUUACACAAUUGAAUGGUAUUUUAAACCAAACUGUAACUUCUUCAUUUUUAGUUUUCCUGCUGGCAUUUGUGUGUUGUCUAUGCAAUGCCAUCAGUAACUUACCAGUAUGUAGGCCCUGGGUCAGACUUAAAGUGGAAGGAAAACUAUUUUGUGAUCAGGAUUUGGAUUGGAGAAUGCUCCAUGUUACAUAGCAUUGCUUGUCAUCAGCAUGGCAAUGGUGUGAGAGUUGGGACUCCUGGGUUUUAAGUCCCAUCUGUGCAACUGACUUUGUGUGUGUGUGGUCUUGGGCAAGUUAUUUCAGUGCCUUAUGCCUCCAUUUCCCCAUCAACAAACUGGCCACAAUAAUUUGUCUUACAAGUGAGACUUGAUGGAUGACAACUCUGAGAACCCUGGGUGAAACUGAGAACUACCCAAUGGCUGCCAUUAAGAGUUCUCCAACUGAUCUUAAUUAAGCAAUAUUGUGCAGUUUACACGUAGCAAAAAUGUUCUUACAAUGUGAACACUGAGAUGAUGGAGUCAAAAGAAAUGUAUGAAACACUUUAAAAUUGGACAUAGGCUUUUCUCACUUUGAUUUGGUUCUUUUUUUUUUUAGGAGUGAAAUAAAAAGCAAGCAGGCAGUUGGCACUCUCUUUAAGGAGAUCCAGGUUUUACUUUUUUUUUUUAUAUUGUUCCUUUAAGAUCUAAUUUUCUAGGACCCGGCUCAUUCAUUAAAAUUUAGUCUCCAAAUGGUAGUUUACAUGCUCAUAGAAGAAGAGGAAAAUGGUGUAAAAAGGGGGAGAAAAGGUAUAUCUUUCAUGCUGGCGCUCAGGACUUCCCCGAAAUGUGAGAGAUGAGUGGGGUUACUAAAAGGAAAGUAUAGUUUCCUGAUUAAUUAUCAGUCACCUUAUGGAAGCACUUCUAAUUAUAUAAUGUGGGAGCUUGAAGGAUAAUUGAUUACUAGUAGCAAUUAAAAGCACAGUUGAAAAACUGCUGUGUCUGGCAGUGCUGCACAUUUAAUAGUCUUUCUUGCUACUUUGAUAGGGGCAGAGUUUAACGCAUUUAACAGUUUAUUUUUUUGAGCGUUUUGAUAGAGUCCAGCAAUCAACUUGGGCACCUGACUCAUUCAUACCAUUCUCUACAGAAUUUGUUAAGUGGAUCUCUGGGAUUGGUUAAUACUCAUUUUAGCAUAUUUAAAUUAACCUGUCCUAAUUCAACUGAGAUGACAGCCAAGUCUCCCGUCAAUUACAGACAAGCUGUGCUGAGGAGCAGAGCUUAGGGCUCAAGGAACUACAUGUAACAGUAAUUUCUCAAGUGCGGGGUUUGAAAGCCUAGAAAGCAAAAGGUUGAGAGGCCAGGAAGGGCCAAAAAGGAAAUACUGAGGAACGAAACAGUGAUAGAAGCAAAGAAAGGAAUCUGUAAAUGUGAAAGGGACGAGGACGGGGAGAAGGAUAUAGUUGAGGCCAAUGGGUCUGGCAGAUCAGUGUGUUACAAGGUGUUCCUGUAAAAGCCUGAAGUACAGUAUCAUAAAUACUAUCCUUGCCCCCUAUAUUGGAGAGAACAAACAAAACAGAGAGAUCAUCAUUCAGCAAACAACCAGGGCCCUUGCUUUCCCUCUUUCUUUAGAAGUAUGGAUUUUAUUUAUUUUUUUUUAAAAGAAGGGCAUUUAUCUGAAUCUGUUUCUUGCCUCCACUCAGUUGACCUAUCUGGGAAAACAUCUCUUUGUUAUCCCACUCCAACCCCUUUCCCUAACUUAGCAUCUCUUAGAUACAGGUGCUUCUUCCUUAACGAGAGGCUUUCCAUACUGAAGGAGAUCUCAGACUAUUCCAAUGUACAUGGUUUGAGGGAGGGAAGAUGAAAGCUUGAACUAAAGCCAGGGUGUUUAAAGUUAGGAAUGUCAUUUAGUUUAUUUUUAUUGUGAACUUCCUGGGUUGCAUAUGUGUAUCAGAACCUACUUAAAAAUUAUAGGCGCCCUAAAGAACAGUAAUAUUUAAAUAUUUCCAUUGUGAUUUUUUUGAGGUGUAUAACUGCUAUGAAGAAGGGAUUAACCUUUCUAGGUAGAGAAGGAGUCUCACUUUGAUGCUAUCAGUUUCUUUCAUAAAUUUUUGUUCAGUUGAGAUGAGGUCUGUUUAAAUGCUUCAGAAUCUUUUAAAUAUUUUUAAUGGCAGUUUUUUAAUUUAAUUUUUUUUUUUUACCUUCUGUCGCUUGAAGAGGAACUGGAUUGUUGAUGUUAAUGUUUUAGAAGCUGCAGCUUCUGUUCAGUGAAAGUGAUGGGAAGAGAUCAAGUCAGUUAUGCUUUGCUGAGCUGUACAGUGUACAGAAUUGAUAAAUGCAGAUGAGUGAUGAGAAUCAGAUACAGAUUUGGUUUAUUUGGCAGCCCUGCUGUUUCAGAUUCCAGUUAUGAGUUUGUAUUAAGGCUCUUGUGAUUGAUUUGUUAGAUAACCAGGGACAACCAGUCUUGUCAGUUUUAAUUUCUAAAGAUUUUAGGACCUUAUUUUGAUUGUGCCUCUAUACCAGUGUGACUACUUACUUCAAAACGUUACACCAAUAUACAACAAAAUUUAAGUGAAAUUUAAAUUGGAACUCCAAUUUACCCAGUGAAUUGACUUUUUAUAUUUUGAGUGCGUUAAGGUUUAAAGACUUACCAGUUUUUAUUUGUAUUAUCAAUAAUUGCAUUUAAAUUCAGUUGGCUGUCCACUUAUGUUUGCCACUGAUAUUUUUUUUUUCCAAUUUUAUUUCUAUAAAAUGUAAUGAGAUUUGUGGUAUGAAACUUAGUCCUCUAUUACAGUGGCACUAAUUGCUCUCUAUUCGUCUUUAUUUAAGUUGAAUCUGUCAAAUAACUGGUAGUAAAAAUAGAAUGUUUGGUAGAAUUAUUGCAUAUUAGCAAAGCAAUUAGGAACUUGAAGGAAAAGGCUUGGUAUAAAUUAUGUGGAUAGCAGUAGAAAGGAACGAAAGUCUAAUAUUUUGGAUGUUUAGUUGGGAUCUUGAACUAAAUUGUUUUGAAUACUCAUGAGUAUUGAUUAAUUGGAAAGCACAGUAUGACCAUUGAACUAUGUAGCCUUAUGAGUAAGUUGGGGUUUUUUGGGGUCUUUGCGGGGGGGGGUGUUCUUUCACUUUUUCUUUAAAAAAAAAACCAACAAAAAAACCCCUUAUUUUGUAACAUUUAUUUUUACCUCGCUCCUUGAACAUGGAAUGAUUUUAAAUGUUUAUUAUGUUAACUGAAAAUAACAAACUAAUUUCUUUAGCUAUUUGGAUGUCAUUAAAUUAUCCUAGCCUGGGUAUCAACAUGAGUUGACAACAUUUUUUGCCUUCUGGACAUGACAGCCUUGCAAAGUUGUUUGCCCUGAACAGUUGGCAAGAAGUAGAGUCUGACAGGACAAAAUGAAUGCACAGUGCCAAAUGGAGUUGCAUCUCUUUGUACUGGAAAUGAAGUCCACCCAUGAUUGCUUAUCACUAGCUUUUUAUUAUGCAAUAACUUGGAUUGCCAUCUAAUAUUCUGUUAGUUACAAAACUACUUGUAAUCCUCACUCUGAUGCUGAGCUUUAACAGGAUACUAAGCGUGUGGAAAUUCCAGAUGGUGAAGAUAGCUGGCUCAUAAGAAGCCAUAGCUUUUAGAGGAUCCAGUUGCUAUUACAAUAACUGCCUCUCAGAUAAGUCAAAUCUUCCUUGACAUGAACAGGUUAUUAAAUCUGCUGUCUGAAGCUACUAAUUGGUGGAAUUGGUAUGCCGUAUUUGAUCCAGCUCCCUGGAAGGUGGGCUCUUGGUGGUGUAACAGUCUUGAAUGACCUGUUUGUAUGUACCUUCUUUCAUGCAUUGUAUGUGUGUACACAUGCUUGUACAUAUGUAUGUAUAUUGCAAAUAUUUGUACAAGGCCUCUACAUCAGUAUUACAGUUCUUGCUUUGACUAAGUAGGAAGUUUGUUUGGUGUUUGUGUCAAAGAGUGUAUAUUUGUAUGUGAAAAGAUGAUUGUGCCUACCUAAACUGUCUACUGGAUUUUUUGACAGCUGUGAAUAAUGCGUGCAAAGAGACUUUUUUUGUUUUUGUUUAAAGGGGGAAAAGUGAAACAUUUAGUUUGAAAAUAAAAUAUUUUUCUGCUUUAAA